UACGGAGGGAGCUAGCGUUGUUCGGAAUUACUUGGGCGUAAAGCGCGCGUAGGCGGCUUUUGUAAGUUAGAGGUGAAAGCCCGGAGCUCAACUCCGGAACUGCCUUUAAAACUGCAUCGCUUGAAUCCAGGAGAGGUGAGUGGAAUUCCGAGUGUAGAGGUGAAAUUCGUAGAUAUUCGGAAGAACACCAGUGGCGAAGGCGGCUCACUGGACUGGUAUUGACGCUGAGGUGCGAAAGCGUGGGGAGCAAACAGGG
rnacentral:rRNA from 1 species